UAGUUUGCGUAGCAAUACGUGAAUGGGCGCACGGCGCACGGGUGCGUAACACGUGGGCAACCUGCCCUCCGAUGGGGAAUAACCCCGCGAAAGCGGGGCUAAUACCGCAUAACAUUCCUUUGGCUACGGCUAGAGGAUUCAAAGCAGCGAUGCGUCGGAGGAGGGGCCCGCGGCCGAUUAGCUAGUUGGUGAGGUAACGGCUCACCAAGGCAAUGAUCGGUAGCUGGUCUGAGAGGAUGAUCAGCCACACUGGAACUGAGACACGGUCCAG
rnacentral:rRNA from 1 species